rnacentral:lncRNA from 1 species
AAACCCACGAUCCCGACGUCCAAAUCCUUCAAACGAACGUCCCCGAGCUUCCUUAGGACCUCACUAAGCUUGCUAUAAGCUUGAAUUUCCCUGAAACACAACAUUUUACGUUCGUAUGAACAGUACCCAAAAAUGGAGGUUUCGGAUCCCACGUGAAAUCGAAGGUUUCACAUCCUAAAACUAGCACCAAUGAACUCAGGACGUCAAAAGGAUGAAGAUACAUACCUUAUUUGCCUCGAUCCGUCAAGAUUUGAAGGGUUUUGGUUGUGGUCCGUACAUAUUUGGGUGUGUGUGUGUGCGAGGUCGAGAAGGAGAGAGACAGAGAGUGCUACGGGAGGGAGAGGGAGAGAGAGAGGUCCCUUUCUGUGUGGUCCACCUUAAUCCACACCAACCAUAA